rnacentral:rRNA from 1 species
AGCGAACGCUGGCGGCAGGCCUAACACAUGCAAGUCGAACGAACCUUCCGGGGUUUGUGGCGGCCGGCUGAGUAACCCGUGGGGACGUUCACUUGGGUUCGGCAUACCUCAGGGACAGUUGUGCUAAUACCGAAUCGGCCCUUCGGGGGAAAGAUCUAUUGCCUUUAGAGCGGCCCGCGUCGGAUUCGCUAGUUGGUUAAGGUAAUGGUUCACCCAGGCGACGUUCAGUAGUUGGUCUGUGAGGCUGAUAAGCCAGCUAGGGACUGUGACACGGCCCAGACUCCUACGCGAUGGAGGAGAGGGUAAUCUAGCGCAGUGGGCGAAGGCCUGACGCAGCCAGGCCGCGUAAAUGAUGAAGGUCGUGGGAAUGAAAUAUGUUUUCACCGGGGACGAUAAUGACGGUACCCGGUGAAGAAGCCCCGGCUAACUACGUG